rnacentral:rRNA from 1 species
UACGUAGGGUGCGAGCGUUAAUCGGAAUUACUGGGCGUAAAGCGUGCGCAGGCGGUUUGGUAAGACAGAUGUGAAAUCCCCGGGCUUAACCUGGGAAUUGCAUUUGUGACUGCCCGGCUAGAGUGUGUCAGAGGGGGGUAGAAUUCCACGUGUAGCAGUGAAAUGCGUAGAUAUGUGGAGGAAUACCGAUGGCGAAGGCAGCCUCCUGGGAUAACACUGACGCUCAUGCACGAAAGCGUGGGGAGCAAACAGG